UAAGCCUCAUGACAACUUUAUGCAUCUGGUCAUUUUGCAAAUCCAAUCAAUCAAUACGGAGCACUUGCUAUGUUCCUGAUGCUAAACUAGAUACCAGGGACACGGUGCAGAGGAUGAAGACAGAUAAGGACCCAUCUCUUGGGGAACUUACCGUCUAGAGAGAGAAGACAGCCAGACGAGGAGAGAGGCAAUCGUGGGCAGUGCAGGAGAACAGGAAACACAGGGGGCUUUGCAAGCACAGAAUAGGGACUCAGUAAAUAUUCGUGGUUGAAUGGAAAGCUCUUAGGAUAAUGGCUCUCAGUUCAGAAGCAGUAGGAGACCGAGGAGUCAAGAGGUGAGGAACAAAAUGUCAGCUUAUUACAGAUAAAGCUGUUUAGAGAACGUGGCUUGGGCAUGCAGGCAAAUGGAACUGCUAACACUG
rnacentral:lncRNA from 10 species